ensembl:snRNA U1 U1 spliceosomal RNA
AUACUUACCUGGCAGGGUGUCAUGAUCAUGGAGGUGGUUUCCCCAGGCUAGGCUUAUCGAUUGAGUUCCAGAUGUGUUGAACUCUGUGUUUUUCCCAAAUUCAAGAAAAUUGACUGCAUAAUUUGUGAUAGUUGGGGGACUGAGUUCAAGCUCCCCAC